AGUUGGCUCAGGCGACGACGGGUAGCCGGCCUGAGAGGGUGACCGGCCACAUUGGGACUGAGAUACGGCCCAGACUCCUACGGGAGGCAGCAGUGGGGAAUAUUGCACAAUGGGCGAAAGCCUGAUGCAGCGACGCCGCGUGAGGGAUGACGGCCUUCGGGUUGUAAACCUCUUUCAGCAGGGACGAAGCGUAAGUGACGGUACCUGCAGAAGAAGCACCGGCCAACUACGUGCAGCCAGCCGCGGA
rnacentral:rRNA from 1 species